UGCAUCCCAUGUGACUGCUCU
rnacentral:miRNA from 1 species